rnacentral:rRNA from 1 species
GAUGAACGCUGGCGGCGUGCCUAAUACAUGCAAGUCGAGCGAACAGACGAGGAGCUUGCUCCUCUGACGUUAGCGGCGGACGGGUGAGUAACACGUGGAUAACCUACCUAUAAGACUGGGAUAACUUCGGGAAACCGGAGCUAAUACACGAUAAGAUAUUGAACCGCAUGGUUCAAUAGUGAAAGCCGGUUUUGCUGUCACUUAUAGAUGGAUCCGCGCCGCAUUAGCUAGUUGGUAAGGUAACGGCUUACCAAGGCGACGAUGCGUAGCCGACCUGAGAGGGUGAUCGGCCACACUGGAACUGAGACACGGUCCAGACUCCUACGGGAGGCAGCAGUAGGGAAUCUUCCGCAAUGGGCGAAAGCCUGACGGAGCAACGCCGCGUGAGUGAUGAAGGUCUUCGGAUCGUAAAACUCUGUUAUUAGGGAAGAACAAAUGUGUAAGUAACUAUGCACGUCUUGACGGUACCUAAUCAGAAAGCCACGGCUAACUACGUG